UAAAAAUAGUAGUAAUAAUAAAAAUAAAAAAGGACGUAACUUUGAAAGAUACUCCAAAUUUAUUUAAUUUUUUCCUUAGCAAGUAAAACACCCCAAAAACAAGUCACAUCCCACUCUCCAAAAACAAAAGUGUAGAAUGUGGAAAGACAAGAGCCCGGGAGUGAAGAUCCUAUGGGUUUGGACCAUCGGCACCGCCGCCGUGCUAGUUGCAAAUGUUGCUACAAGUAGAAUCAGAGAUAUGAACAAGAUCCUCAAUGAUACCCAACAACAAUCUGAAUCUGAAUCAUCAGCAUCAUCUUCUUCUUCUUCAACUGAUACUAAUAAUCAACAAACAAAAACAACUGAUUCCUUUAUUGCUGAUGAUGAUAAGAUCUUUGCCUCUUCUACCUUAGACAAAAAUGCUUAACAAGCACAUUUCUUUGCUUUAUUUCAAUUUUGCUUGUUGAAGAAGUUUUGUAAUUUGAAUAAUUAUAGCCUUGAAUACUUGUCAGGUUUACUGAACCAUUUGCUAGGUUCUUGGUUUGUAUGCAUGUAAGUUGUUUGAUGAAA